rnacentral:tRNA from 1 species
GUGGAUAUAGCUCAGUUGGUAGAGUCCCGGAUUGUGAUUCCGGUUGUCGUGG